AAAAGGCUCGGGUCGACUCCACCCUUCUGUGAACCAACCUCGUUGCUUCGGGGGUGACCCCGCCGUUCUCGGGCGGCGGCGGCACCCCCGGAGGCCAUUCAAACCCUGCGUAACUGUGUGUCGGAGUUUAAACAAAUUAAACAAAACUUUCAACAACGGAUCUCUUGGUUCUGGCAUCGAUGAAGAACGCAGCGAAAUGCGAUAAGUAAUGUGAAUUGCAGAAUUCAGUGAAUCAUCGAAUCUUUGAACGCACAUUGCGCCCCCUGGUAUUCCGGGGGGCAUGCCUGUUCGAGCGUCAUUACACCAAUCAAGCCUGGCUUGGUAUUGGGCGUCGCGGGUUCGCUCGCGCGCCUUAAAGUCUCCCCGGCUGGGCGGCUCCGUUCUCCAUGCGUGGUGGUUUUAAUCAUUCGCGGCGGGAGCGGGCGGCACGGCCGUUAAACUACCCCUUCGAAGG
rnacentral:sRNA from 1 species